rnacentral:rRNA from 1 species
CCUACGGGCGGCUGCAGUGGGGAAUAUUGGACAAUGGGGGCAACCCUGAUCCAGCCAUGCCGCGUGUGUGAAGAAGGCCCUCGGGUUGUAAAGCACUUUCAGUGAGGAAGAACGCCUGGUGGUUAAUACCCAUCAGGAAAGACAUCACUCACAGAAGAAGCACCGGCUAACUCCGUGCCAGCAGCCGCGGUAAUACGGAGGGUGCGAGCGUUAAUCGGAAUUACUGGGCGUAAAGCGCGCGUAGGUGGUUUGAUAAGCCGGUUGUGAAAGCCCCGGGCUCAACCUGGGAACGGCAUCCGGAACUGUCAAGCUAGAGUGCAGGAGAGGAAGGUAGAAUUCCCGGUGUAGCGGUGAAAUGCGUAGAGAUCGGGAGGAAUACCAGUGGCGAAGGCGGCCUUCUGGACUGACACUGACACUGAGGUGCGAAAGCGUGGGUAGCAAACAGGAUUAGAUACCCUUGUAGUC